rnacentral:rRNA from 1 species
AUUGAACGCUGGCGGCGUGCUUAACACAUGCAAGUCGAGCGGCAGCGCGGGAGCAAUCCUGGCGGCGAGCGGCGAACGGGUGAGUAAUGCUUCGGAAUCUACCUCGUAGUGGGGAAUGACCAGUCGAAAGAUUGGCUAAUACCGCAUACGAACUACGGUUGAAAGCGGGGGAUCGCAAGACCUCGCGCUACGAGAUGAGCCGAAGUCGGAUUAGCUAGUUGGUGAGGUAACGGCUCACCAAGGCGACGAUCCGUAGCUGGUCUGAGAGGACGAUCAGCCACACUGGGACUGAGACACGGCCCAGACUCCUACGGGAGGCAGCAGUGGGGAACUUUGGACAAUGGGCGAAAGCCUGAUCCAGCAAUGCCGCGUGUGUGAAGAAGGCCUUCGGGUUGUAAAGCACUUUUGUCCGGAAAGAAAUGGCUCUGGUUAAUACCUGGGGUCGAUGACGGUACCGGAAGAAUAAGGACCGGCUAACUACGUGCCAGCCGCCGCAGUAACAC